rnacentral:rRNA from 1 species
UCCUUAGAUGUUCUGGGCUGCACGCGCGCUACACUGAAGCGUUCAACGAGUAUUCACCUUGCCCGGGAGGGUUGGGUAAUCUUUUGAAAACGCUUCGUGAUGGGGAUAGAUUAUUGCAAUUAUUAAUCUUCAACGAGGAAUUCCUAGUAAGCGCGAGUCAUCAGCUCGUGCUGAUUACGUCCCUGCCCUUUGUACACACCGCCCGUCGCUCCUACCGAUUGAAGUUUUCGGUGAGUUGACAGGAGGAUUUUUUUGAAACUGGUUCGCCAGUGGAUUUUAGAUCCAAAUGCCAACGAAUCGAUGGCUUUAGAGGAAGGAGAAGUCGUAACA